rnacentral:miRNA from 1 species
ACAGAGGAGAGGGCACGGUUG